GCGGCGAACGGGUGAGUAACACGUGGGCAACCUGCCCUCAGCUCUGGGAUAACUCCAAGAAAUUGGGGCUAAUACCGGAUAUGACUGCUGACCGCAUGGUCUGGUGGUGGAAAGAUUUAUCGGCUGGGGAUGGGCCCGCGGCCUAUCAGCUUGUUGGUGGGGUAGUGGCCUACCAAGGCGACGACGGGUAGCCGGCCUGAGAGGGUGACCGGCCACACUGGGACUGAGACACGGCCCAGACUCCUACGGGAGGCAGCAGUGGGGAAUAUUGCGCAAUGGGCGGAAGCCUGACGCAGCGACGCCGCGUGGGGGAUGACGGCCUUCGGGUUGUAAACCUCUUUCAGCAGGGACGAAGCGCAAGUGACGGUACCUGCAGAAGAAGCACCGGCCAACUACGUGCCAGCAGCCGCGGUAAUACGUAGGGUGCAAGCGUUGUCCGGAAUUAUUGGGCGUAAAGAGCUCGUAGGCGGUUUGUUGCGUCGGCUGUGAAAUCCCGAGGCUCAACCUCGGGUCUGCAGUCGAUACGAGCAAACUAGAGUGUUGCAGGGGAGACUGGAAUUCCUGGUGUAGCGGUGAAAUGCGCAGAUAUCAGGAGGAACACCGGUGGCGAAGGCGGGUCUCUGGGCAACAACUGACGCUGA
rnacentral:rRNA from 2 species